rnacentral:miRNA from 1 species
AUGAGGAUGUAACUGGCAAGGCUUAC